AUACGUAGGGUGCGAGCGUUGUCCGGAAUUACUGGGCGUAAAGAGCUCGUAGGUGGUUUGUCGCGUCGUCUGUGAAAUUCCGGGGCUUAACUCCGGGCGUGCAGGCGAUACGGGCAUAACUUGAGUACUGUAGGGGAGACGGGAAUUCCUGGUGUAGCGGUGAAAUGCGCAGAUAUCAGGAGGAACACCGGUGGCGAAGGCGGGUCUCUGGGCAGUAACUGACGCUGAGGAGCGAAAGCAUGGGUAGCGAACAGGAUUAGAUACCCUGGUAGUCCAUGCCGUAAACGGUGGGCGCUAGGUGUAGGGGUCUUCCACGACUUCUGUGCCGUAGCUAACGCAUUAAGCGCCCCGCCUGGGGAGUACGGCCGCAAGGCUAAAACUCAAAGGAAUUGACGGGG
rnacentral:rRNA from 1 species